CAAGGCUGGCAAGAAGAAAACAUCCACCCACCGAGUUGCCUCUUGAUCAAGGAGCCGAUGGUGGAUGGAGGAGCUGCCGAGUGCCGCUGCCCUACGUCAACGUCAGGUGGUGCUUAAAGCGAAGGCCAACACUCGGUCUCCGUGCCCCGUUCAAGAUUCCGGCGUCGGUUGCGUGCUGCUUGGGGGUCCAUCACCAAGGUGAAGGGGCAAUUUACUCGCUCAUCCCCUCUUUGAUUCGGUUCCCGGUCAUCAUUUCGUCUUUUCAAAGCUGCAUGCUAGGUGUUUGUGGAAUUGCCUGCCAGCCUGCCUCCUUUGCAACAGCAGGGGCAGCGGCAGUGGCAGCCAGGCGCCAGCGGAGUAAGGAAGGCUAAGGCUAGGGGGAGCAGCAAGGAAAGGAUGACCAUGCCGCGGGGGCUGGCGGCGUACAUGGUGGACAUGGUGUGGGCGGUGCUCGCCGGGUGGGUGUCGGCGUGCCUGCUGGUCGCCAACGAGAUUGCCCGCGGCAUGCGUGCCCGGGGAGAUCGGCCCCUUCGUUGUGGGGUGAAAAAAUCUCGUUUCGGCUCAUCACUUCUGAUUCAUUCCUUCAUGCAGAUAGUUUUUUGACGAAUCCGUCCAUGGAUACACCGCAUUAUAAUGUACAUAGUCCAUAAACCUCCAUUCGUGUUCAGCUGAAUGACGUCGGCCGUUACCUGUAGUGACAGAUUCUAGAUGAUGUUUUUCUCUCCUUUCUUUCUACAAUUCUUCUGUUCCGUAUAGUCAUGUAAACAUUUUUUUUUACUUUUUACAUUAUAGUUCUCUAAAAAUAUGUGCGGCUGCAUAAUAAGGAGUCAUGUUAUGUUCUUUUCCCCUCUUUAAUUUAUGAUUAUCAAGAGCUGCUCAUACAAUCCGCUGCAUGGAUAGCAACUCUGGAGAAAGAUGGGAGAAUUAAGAUUGCUUGGAGGACUCUACUAAUGUGGGCAACAAGGAUAGGUACAAGGUUCGAGUGAGAACAGAUCAUGAGACGCAUCGAUGGAAUAACCGAUCUAUCGUACUCCACACAUACAAGCACAAGUUCAGCAGAUCAAGUUGUGAGGGAAUA